GAGAGCGGCUCUGCGCGGCGCUGGGCCCUCCGUGUCCCCGGCCCAGAACGGGCUCACGCCUGCCAGGGGAGCGGAGACGGGAUUGUCUGCCUUUAAUGAGGAGUGUCUGAAUUUUACGAAGCCUUUUUUGUUCAUGAAGAAUUCUUCUAGUGAGUAAUAUGUUGGUAAGGAUAUAAACAUGGACAGAAUUCUAUCUUAAACCAGUUGGCUUGAACUCUAAUAUUAGUUUUGGAGCUUUUAUAUUUACUUUUCACCCAAGAUAAAUAUCUUGGGAAAUACUUAUUUGAAAUCAGGAUUACAUUAUGUUCUUUUAUUAUUUUUUUAAUCUUGUGACAGUUCUUUGAAGUCUUCAGCAUGGUAACAAAAUAAAGAUUAACAUUCUGAUGCCUUAAAAUUUGAGAUCUUGAGUAGCAAAAAACUGUGAGUUCUCUGUUUGUUUGCACUGUCCUUUAUUUCAGGUAUGAUUAUGACAUUACAGAUCAGAUUCUGCAUUCAUGGAGCACCCUUUAAAACUCAUAAGAUUUUCAAUCAGAUGGUGUUCUUGUUGUAAAACACAAGAAAUGUAAGAUAGAUAGAUAUUAAAGGUAGGAAAUUAUUCUGCCAUUUGGCUGAGUAUUUCUGAGAUGUCAGCUGCUUGUGGAUUGGGGCUUUUGUGAAAGAAUAAUGGUAUUAAAAACUCAGUGUAUAAAAAAGUAAUUUCCUUUGUUUUUUCUGUAGUUGGAAUUCAAGUUUAGACCUGCCAACUUCUUCUCAAGAAAAGUCCUUACUCUUGUGAAAUGCUCCCUUGAAAGAUACAGGUAUCUUCUGACAGGCACCUGUCAGACACACACACAACUUUGCUCAACUGUUCUCCACAUUUCUUAUUGAUUUUCUUAUUGAUUUUCUAGGCCUUUUCAGACUGUCCCCAACUCAUCUCUGUUAAAAGCUGAGUCACACCUUUCCUAUAGCUUGUUCACAGUAUAUAGCUAUUGUGUUCAUCAUGUUUAUCUUCCUAAUUAAUUGUGCACAAGUGUAGUGUCUCUGCCCAGUUUCACAGGACAUCACAGUGGGUUUGGCUCUGAGGUUUUUCAUUGCAGCACCAUGUAAGUCCUUUGGGGAAAGAAUUGUAUUUUGUGCAAUGGGACACGUGUCAGGCUGGAAAUUCUGAGUUGUAUUGGGACAUCCAGAUCAAAACUGAUAGGAAGAUUUUUCCAGGAACAGUAAAUUGCAUGCACUUAGUCACUAGGAAAGUAGAGGUUAAGUCCUUUUAUAAUGCAGAAAAAUCUUGGGAAAAAGUUUUGUUUAGAUAUGUAGUCAUCUUACCCAGUUGGGCUACAUUUCAAAUUAGCUCUGUGUCUCAAUCAUUGCUGCAAUUCAUUUAGGUGAAUUACUUUAAAAAAAUGUUUUUAUUGGUCUAUGGACAUGUGUCAAAUAUCUGUAUGCUGUCAAUAUUUUUUGGGUCCUGGAUAUAGAUCAUUAUAUUCAUAUCCAAGUUAUUGCAACAUGACAGAAAAUUAAUAAAAGCUGUUCUUCAGAAAACUAAAUGUUUGACCAAUUCUUGUGCCUGCAGUCAAUUUGCUUUGGGUUUAGUUCUUUACUCUUGAAACCAUCAGCAGUAUUUCUAUGCAUAAAAUAAUCAGAGAGACAGGAAAAAGAAAUUAAAGACAGUAUUUAUUUUUGCAUUCUUCUCCUUCCUAAAGUAUUCUGUUUGUUUUGAAAGGUGAUUUCUAGUCUGAAUACAGUGAAUACUGAAAAUUUGCUGUAAGAAGAUUGUCAGGUUUGAUGUGGGGACAGGUGAGUCCUAGGUUAACCUUGUCUCUUCAUUAUUAGAACAUACAUUUAAAUAUAUAUUUGCUGCCAGUGAAUAUAUUUGCUCUGUUUUGUCUCCCAGCACUUCAAGAUUCUGGGUAAACUUUUAUCUAUCUUGUAAGUUCCACUCAAAGCAAAAUAUGUAUUUAAACUGAAUCUGCUUGGCUGAAAGAUAAAAAUUAAAGGAGUUUAAGAACCCUCUUGAAUUUUCCACAGCAGCAUAUUCCCUUUGAAACCAGUAAAAUGGCAGAAGCUGGAAAGCAAGGAUGAUGCAAGGAGCAGGGCAUGAGACCAAGCUUUGCCCUAGACUGACAAUUCAGCACAUCAGAUGUUACAGAGAACCUUUCCACCCAUCAUCUGCCCUUUGGUGUGUUUCCUGGGAGCCUUUGCUGGCCUGCAUUUUGCAGCACACACUGUAUUAAUGGAACAGCCCCUUCCCCAGCUUGCUCUGGGGAUGACCUGGGUGAUGUGCAGCAAAAGCAAAAGCUGGGAAGACAGAAAGAGAGAAGUAUGAAAAACUGAGGAGAACACAUAAAUGUCUAAAUAAAUACAGUCUUCUCUCUUGGCUUUGGUUUUCCAUCCUGCCCGUGGGCUUGUGUUUGAGACAUUACAGUCUGUUGCCAUAGCACUUGUCCUGGUACCAAAGAGCAGCUAGCUGGUGUUUGCAUCAAGACAAGUUAAUAAAAUUAUAUUCUGCUGAUGACCAAAGGAGAAAAAUUACCUUUUGCCUUUUCCCUCCUUCAGCAGAGGGUCAGGGGUCCAAGGAAGAGAUGGUGCAGAAGUUUCUAGAACCAAGUGGAGCCAUUAGCUCCCAUAUUUAUUUCAUCAGAAGUGAGCCCUUUUCUGUUCUAGUUUAUUCUAGAUGCUAUGUCAACCCUACUACCAGCCCCACUGGUAGCUCUCAGUGCUUCCCAGGGUUGUGGGGGUGUUGGGAAGAUGUAAUGGAAUGCUGCUUGGAUUAGUAGAAGUGUUUCUUGAAGCAGCUCUCACACUCAGCAGAGCCUGCUGUUCUCUGAAGGAGUUGAUAUCAUUUAUUCCUGCCCAGUUCUCCAAAAACUGGAGUGAUUUCAGCCUGAGCAGGCAGAGACAUCUUCCACAGUGUUUGCUGUGUCCAUGCUCAUGGUAUCAGAUACUGCUUACCAUUUCUCUGGUUUCUUUUCUUUCAGGCCAUGUGAAAAUUGCUGGUUUUGUGAGAAGCUAGCUAUGAAGGAAAUCUGCUUGCUUGGCAGUUCACUAUACCAGACCAAGCACACCUCAUCUCAGAAAGUGUCUGAACAAAUGACACAGGGUAACCCUGGGCCUCUAGACACAGCAAGCAAUAGUCAGCAUAAGCAAAUAGUGGGUCAUAAAAGCCAAAUGAAUUUAAAGACUGUUCAUCUGUUUUCAUUGCUGACA